GAUGAACGCUAGCGGCAGGCCUAAUACAUGCAAGUCGGACGGGAUUCAGGAGCUUGCUUCUGAUGAGAGUGGCGCACGGGUGCGUAACACGUAUGUAACCUACCUUUAUCAGGGGGAUAGCCUCUCGCAAGAGAGAUUAAGCCCGCAUAAAAUCACAGCACAGCAUUGUGUAAUGAUCAAAUAUUUAUAGGAUAAAGAUGGGCAUGCGGAACAUUAGCUAGAUGGCGGGGUAACGGCCCACCAUGGCGACGAUGUUUAGGGGAUCUGAGAGGAUGGCCCCCCACACUGGUACUGAGACACGGACCAGACUCCUACGGGAGGCAGCAGUAAGGAAUAUUGAUCAAUGGGCGGAAGCCUGAACCAGCCAUGCCGCGUGCAGGAAGACGGCCCUACGGGUUGUAAACUGCUUUUAUACGGGAAUAAACCCAGAUACGUGUAUCUGGCUGAAUGUACUGUAAGAAUAAGGAUCGGCUAACUCCGUG
rnacentral:rRNA from 1 species